UGCACCCAUGAUGAUAAGUGCUAGUGUAAUGAGUUACGAUGAUGGAUGCUGAGUGUCUGAAACUCUGAGGUCCAG